rnacentral:sRNA from 1 species
GGACAGCCAUCGCCGAGUCCCCGUACGGCGCAAGCCAGGGGAGCCGGGGACCCAACACGUCCCCAGGGGUGAAUCGGGCGCCUUCCCCGGCCGGGGGAGGAGUCCGUAGGAGACCUUCCUGCUCCGAACCCGUCAGCUAACCCGGUAGGCGAGAAGGAAGGAAAG